UGAGGAAUUUUGCGCAAUGGCCGCAAGGCUGACGCAGCAACGCCGCGUGGGUGAUGAAGGCCUUCGGGUCGUAAAGCCCUGUCAGGUGGGAAGAAAGGUCUUGAGAAGCAACGCUUGAGAUUUGACGGUACCACCAGAGGAAGCACCGGCUAACUCCGUGCCAGCAGCCGCGGUAAUACGGAGGGUGCAAGCGUUAUUCGGAAUUACUGGGCGUAAAGCGCGUGUAGGCGGGGAUGCAAGUCUGAUGUGAAAGCCCUGGGCUUAACCUGGGAAGUGCAUUGGAAACUGCAUUUCUUGAGUACUGGAGAGGAAGGGGGAAUUCCCGGUGUAGAGGUGAAAUUCGUAGAGAUCGGGAGGAAUACCAGUGGCGUAGGCGCCCUUCUGGACGGUUACUGACGCUGAGACGCGAAAGCGUGGGGAGCAAACA
rnacentral:rRNA from 1 species